GAUUCUGGCUCAGGAUGAACGCUAGCUACAGGCUUAACACAUGCAAGUCGAGGGGCAGCAUGAUCUGUGCUUGCACAGAUUGAUGGCGACCGGCGCACGGGUGAGUAACGCGUAUCCAACCUUCCCCUUAGUAGGGCAUAGCCCGGCGAAAGUCGGAUUAAUACCCUAUGUUUUCCAAUGAGGACAUCUGAGCUGGAAUAAAGAUUCAUCGCUAAGGGAUGGGGAUGCGUCCGAUUAGGUUGUUGGCGGGGUAACGGCCCACCAAGCCCUCGAUCGGUAGGGGUUCUGAGAGGAAGGUCCCCCACACUGGUACUGAGACACGGACCAGACUCCUACGGGAGGCAGCAGUGAGGAAUAUUGGUCAAUGGGCGAGAGCCUGAACCAGCCAAGUAGCGUGCAGGAUGACGGCCCUAUGGGUUGUAAACUGCUUUUAUACGGGGAUAAAGUGAGGGACGUGUCCCUUAUUGUAGGUACCGUAUGAAUAAGGACCGGCUAAUUCCGUGCCAGCAGCCGC
rnacentral:rRNA from 1 species